CACAACAAGAAUCCGCCUUUUUAGCGUCUGCAUUUAGCGUCCGACGAUACAAGCGGACGGUAAAUUUAAAAUUAGCGUCCGAUUAAAGACAGAUGCAAAUUAGCGUCCGCUUUUUGAGAUUUAGCGUCCGUUUAAAAAAACGGACGCUAAUUAGCGUCCGUUUAGUUAAAAUACCGUCCGUUAGACGGACGCUAAAUAAGAGGUAUAAAUUAAAAAAAAAAACCUCCAGUCGACCAAAUUAUCAACCCUAACACACGCCUCUCUCUUCCUCACUCUCAUCUCACGUUUCUCUCUCUUCCUCACUCUCAUCUCACAUUUUGGUGCUCUCUCUUUCUUGUAGAUCUCACGAAAUCAGGGUUAUGAGAUUUGCGUUUGAGUUCCAGAUUUGAAGUUGGUUUCGAUCCAGAUACCAGAUUUAAAGUCCGUUUUGGUUCCAGAUUUUUGUUGUGGAGUUUAAAGUGUACAUGUAAUUAAAUGGGAUUUGUAUUAGAUUUUGUUCGAAGUAUACUAGAAUUUAGUUCUAGAAUUAUUUUUUCACUUGUAAUUACAUUUAUUAUCAAUAAUAAUUGAAUUGAUUAAUUUGUUUGCCUUAAUAAAAGAAGUAUGGUAUUUGCAUCAUUCCAUAUAUUAUUACAUUUAAUAUCAAAAAGCUAUUACAUUUAAUAUUAGUUAAA